rnacentral:sRNA from 1 species
UUGACAGCCCUGGACACUGAGGGGUCUUUAUCUACAGAGCAGUUAAAACCCAGGCACUGGUAAUGAAAGCUUGGUGCCUGAUGAGUGCCUCCACCCUGGACAGGAGAGGCUGUCUCUAGGACUGAGGAGGAGAGCAUUUUCUUGGUCCAUUCAGUCUUUGACUUUU